UUUAAUGAGAGUUUGAUCCUGGCUCAGGACGAACGCUGGCGGCGUGCCUAAUACAUGCAAGUAGAACGCUGAAGGAGGAGCUUGCUUCUCUGGAUGAGUUGCGAACGGGUGAGUAACGCGUAGGUAACCUGCCUGGUAGCGGGGGAUAACUAUUGGAAACGAUAGCUAAUACCGCAUAAGAGUGGAUGUUGCAUGACAUUUGCUUAAAAGGUGCACUUGCAUCACUACCAGAUGGACCUGCGUUGUAUUAGCUAGUUGGUGGGGUAACGGCUCACCAAGGCGACGAUACAUAGAGUUUGAUCCUGGCUCAGGACGAACGCUGGCGGCGUGCCUAAUACAUGCAAGUAGAACGCUGAAGGAGGA
rnacentral:rRNA from 1 species